rnacentral:rRNA from 1 species
AGGGAAUCUUCCGCAAUGGGCGAAGGCCUGACGGAGCAACGCCGCGUGAGUGAAGAAGGAUUUCGGUUCGUAAAGCUCUGUUGUUAGGGAAGAAUGAUUGUGUAGUAACUAUACACAGUAGAGACGGUACCUAACCAGAAAGCCACGGCUAACUACGUGCCAGCAGCCGCGGUAAUACGUAGGUGGCAAGCGUUGUCCGGAAUUAUUGGGCGUAAAGCGCGCGCAGGUGGUUUAAUAAGUCUGAUGUGAAAGCCCACGGCUCAACCGUGGAGGGUCAUUGGAAACUGUUAAACUUGAGUGCAGGAGAGAAAAGUGGAAUUCCUAGUGUAGCGGUGAAAUGCGUAGAGAUUAGGAGGAACACCAGUGGCGAAGGCGGCUUUUUGGCCUGUAACUGACACUGAGGCGCGAAAGCGUGGGGAGCAAACAGGAUUAGAUACCCUGGUAGUCCACGCCGUAAACGAUGAGUGCUAAGUGUUGGUCUCAUAAGAGAUCAGUGCUGCAGCUAACGCAUUAAGCACUCCGCCUGGGGAGUACGACCGCAAGGUUG